UUGCAUCUGAAGUUCAAGAGGAUGAGAAUCUCCGGGGAAGGAGGUUCGACUCGAGCGAAGCGAGAGAACGUUGCGUUAGCAACGGCCCGAAGGGCGAGCCGCGAAGCGGUGAGUCAUCCUCUCUCGCCGACCA
rnacentral:sRNA from 1 species